AACCCAGGAAAAAAGAGAGUCUACCGUGAUGGAAUUAUAGAGAGAGAGAAUUAGAGGCUGGGUGGGGUGUGGGGAAGGGGAAGAUCAAAGGCAGGGCAGCUCCGUUGCCCAUCGCCCCCCAAGGCGACCUCGGCGGAGAGGUAAUCCCUUUUGGCCGCUUUUCCUAUGAGGUUGUACAUCGUGGAUCGGAUGAGUCACAGCUGCAAUGGAAGAACGCGACCUUCGCGAGCUCAGAAUUAACAACAGUGGUAGUGAGAUGUGGGAGACAUUGAGCUCGAGAUGGCAGUGCGCUCGAUUAUGGAAAAAAGAGAAAGAGAUAGGGGUUUUGUGUGGGGAAGAAUAGAUGGGGGCUGUGGUCGUUGGAGGGUCAACAUUGCCUAUGUAUCUCCUCUCUCACUUCAAUUUUUUGCACCAUGCUCUGCUUCGUGAUCCUCUCAACAUGAAUAAUGGGCUAAGCUGGUGGGAGAAAAAAGAAGGGCAUGAUCUGGAUUAGGGAGGAGGCAAUUGGAUGGUGGGAGCUUUUCGGAAUUGCGCUUACUUAGUUGAGGUCGUUGCGGUGCCCAGGAGUGACCAGAGACCUCCCAUGGGUGGUAGAAGGGAGGGACCGUGGCUGGAUGGGAGCUCCUGCAACGGUGACUUCUCGACCUUGGUGAGACACAUGGUGUGCGUGGACUUGUAAGCCUGUUGUUUCAUUUCUUUAUCUCCUCACCGUUCAGGAUCAUGGAUGAGCCAACUAUUGAGUCGAGAAGAAUGAUUCUGGAUCACGGUUGAAUAGGCUUUCGAGAAGAAUGGCUGGCGGUAAUUGGAAAGGUAUAGUAGUUGGUUAAGGCUGUAGCAUUCUGAGGUCAAUCUUCGCAGGUUGAGGGAAUAAAAGACCUCCUAGACAAGAGAGAACAUAAGAUAGGUGCUGAGAUAUUUAAAGUAGUUUUGACCUGCCUGCCUAGGCGAUUGCUAAGAAUGCUGGGACAAAUGGCAGUGUUGUCGUGGAGAAGAUUUUAUCAAUUGACAAGGUGAGGUAGGGAUAUAUGCUGCUAAGCGCAGCUACGAGGAUCCAAUGUCCACUGGCAUAACCGAUCCAUCCGAGGUAUAAGUUUUACAUUCAAGAAUCAACGCAUUUAAACAUUCAAAAUGCACUCCAUGAAAUAAAAAGAAAAUGGUAUCAUAUAUGAUAAUAUUAUAUCAUCUUUUGAAAAAAAAUAGAUUAUUAACCAUUAAUAGAGAGUUCAUACUUUUUUACAAAUGAGUGUUUUAUUAUUAGUUUCAGCUAUACACUAUAUUGAUUAUUACAACAACUAUUACGAUGAAUCAAAAAAUUGAAGAAAAAUUUCCAACUCGCGGCAUGGUGUGGGUUUGCCCCUAGUUGACAUGGUUAUAGAUCAAUUGGUCAGUUUCACAAUAUGUUCCGUAAAUAACCACAUCUUGACAUAAAUAUUUAUUUGAAAAUCUUUUAAAAAAUAAUAUAUUAUAUGAUGUAAAUAUCACAUUUGAUCAGAAAAUAUAUAUUUGAUUAAUUUAAUAACUAAAUGUAGUAGUAAACUAUCAUGUAAAAAAAUUCAAAAAUAUAUUAUACAGAAGAUUAAUAAAUUUGGGAACUUUUCUGUAGAUGACAACAUUUUACCAAAAAUAAUUAUUUUACCACAGUUUAUCAAUGGCCCUUGAUUAAUCCAGUCAGCCCAUUAAGGGUAAAGCUCUUAUAGUAUAGAUUUUCUCAAUUCAUAAGACUUGAAUUCAAGACCUUGCCUAAAGGGAACAAGCGCUUGAACCAAUCCACGUUAGUGCCAAAAAUAUAAUUAUUGAGAAUUCACAAGUUCAAAAAUUCAUGAUUUAGCCAUUUAUUUUGGCAGGCUGUGAUUUAGCCAUUAUUUGAAAAUUGAAAGGAUUCGCAAUAUAUUAUAAUAAUAAACUUAAAAAAUUCAAAAAAUAUCAUUGAUCAUUAAAUAUCAAUUCAAAAUUGAAAGUUCAUAAUCUUUUUUAUUAUAUUAUAAAAAACUAAAAACUUUAGAUUUAUAAAAUAAUAUUCUGAAAUUUUUUUAAAUAAAAACUGUAAAAGUUUGAGAAAAUUUCGUUGAAUAAUCUAAGCAUCACACAGAGUCUUUACUUUCAUAAAUAUAAAUAUAAAUAUAUAUCUAUAUAUAUAGAUGUAUAAUAAAAUUGACCUUGAGAGCAAUACAUCCUAUUAAUGUUUCUCUUGAUAACGCCUGUAAUUACUAAAAGAAUUAAAAAUAAAUUAUGAAAGAUGAACAAAAUUAAAUUUUCACUCAUUAAUCUAAUGCUAAGGAUUGGAACAUAAAUUAAUAUUAAAGAAUUACAUCUGACAAUAAUUUACAUAGAUAUUGAAUAUAAAUGGUAUAAAUUUUUAUAAAAUUAAAGGCACUGAAUUAUAAUCUCGCAUAUUAGUGACGAAUUAGAAAAUCAUUAUAUGAUAUAUGAAAACAAAUAACAUUAAUUUCAUCAUUAUAUUUCCUCGUAUAAAUGCUAAGAGAUAUGGGAUUUCCUUUGACGAAUCAAAUCUAAAGAAAACAAGAAGAGAAAGUGAGAAUUAAUACUCCGUUUGGUUUCGCAGUUAAAAUCACAAAAAAUUUAACUUUAAUUUUAACUCAACACACUAUAUAACAAAAAUACACAUUUUCCAAGUCAAAAAUUUUAACUUUAACUUUAACUCAAUAUACUACACAAUCAUUUGUCAUUUUCCACAAUCAAAAUCAAAGUUACUUUAACUCUAAAAUCAAACGCACCAUUCAAUCAUGCUAAUAUUUAGCUACAAGGACUACCAAAGGAAUUAGCAAAUGGCCUUUCCCAUACACAUUUCACCUAACAGUUAGGUUUGCCCGGGAGUUUUUGUAAUAGAAGGCUAACACAUGGACGCCCCUAGUGCCCACAUGUAGGAGACCACAUUAGUUUUCCGUUAGAAAAUUUGACGGUCGGACCUAACUAUUUGACGGAAUAAGACUUAAUAUGGAGGUUCUCAAGUAUUAGUUCAUUAAAUAUUUAUGGACCAAAGUGUCAAUUCACUCAUUUAUUUUUUCAGUUUGGGUUGUGUUUAUGAACUUAAUACGGUUAUUGAUGUUCUCAUUAAGUUUAAGUGAUUAACUAGUUUGAAUAGUUGUGUGAUCGAAGAAACACAGUGAGGAUAUGUUUGGAUUGUUUAUUGAUAAUAUUGACACACUAUUGCACCAUUAUGAACAAGGGAUGACAUAAUAUAAAAUCUAUAUGUGAGGUUCAAUUAAUUAUUUAAAUCCUGUUAUAUACUAAAUAUAAAUACUAAUUCUAAAGGUUAGACUGCGUAUUAGUCGAAGGUGCAAAUAGGAUAAUAUUCUAUUUCCCACAUUGGUUAUCCUAAUUAUAUUAUAUAUCUGAUAUUUCUAAUAGUUGUAUCGGUUUUUCGUUAUUCUAAAAUCUCUAACCUGUGGGUGCAAGUAGGGGUAUGCACAGAUACCGGGUAUACUCGGAACCGGUCGGAACCUACCCGUUAGGGUAGGGUUCGGGUAGCUCAUAUUGAAAAUAAGAUAGGGUCCGGUUAUUAAAAUAAGAAACCGGUGAAAACAGGUUUCGAUUAUGGAUCCGAUUAGUGCAUAAUGUAUCCCGAACCGGAACCGGAAUCGGUACCCAGACUCGAUAAUAAUUUCCCAUAGUUAUAUUCAGACAUAUUUCUCCAUUUUACUUUAUCGUCUUCACCUCUCUCUCUCUCGAUGGAAGCCUCGCAAUCCUUAUCGUCGAUAACUUUGGUUCAACGACCUCGGUGUGUCAUCAGUAAGGCCUGAUCGUAUUACGAAUGUUUAGUUUUGUAGAUGGAUCGAUGAGACAUAUUUUUAUUUGUAUUAAAUGUAUUGCGGAUUAAUCUAAAUCUAUAUCGACAUUUUGUUUUGCGUGAUUAGGAUUAUGGAUGAGAUAUUUUCGGCUUUAUUUAGAGAGAGAAAAAAAUUUACAGGUUCCAACAGGGUACCUGGAACCUGUAGUAUAAUACAGACUCCGGAUAUGUUCCGGUUUCAAAACUCAACAGGGUAGGGUUCGGUUCCAAAAUUUUGGAAACCCUUCCUUAAAAGGUAGGGUCUGAGUAUCGUGAAAAAAAUAGGUACCCAGACUCAAACACCCCUAGGUGCAAGGACCUUUCAUCUAGCUUAUAAGAUUGUUUCCAUAUCUCUUUUUAUUCUCAAUUUUUUAUUAUUUUGUCAAAAGAAAGACUCAUGAGCUUACAAAGAGGUAGGAAAAAAAAUAAAAAAUAAAAAGAUACGAGAGUUUUAUUAAUGAGAAUUAAAUCCCGAACUUCUUGAUUCUAAGUCGAGGACAAUAUCACUGCAUCAAAUCCCGUAUCUUUCUUCAAUUCUCUAUUUUCUAAAAGCCAUACUAUGAGACUAAUCCUCUCUUUAGUCUUUCCAUUUUCUAAGUAGUCCAUGAGGGGUUAAUUAACCUCAAUCUAUCUUUAUUUGAUUAUGGAUGAUGGUAAAUAUUAAAAAAAAAACUAUGCUCUUCUAUCUCUCCUUAAUCAUGACAUCUUUAGCAAAACA